GUGGGGAAUAUUGGACAAUGGGCGAAAGCCUGAUCCAGCCAUGCCGCGUGUGUGAAGAAGGUCUUCGGAUUGUAAAGCACUUUAAGUUGGGAGGAAGGGCAGUAAGUUAAUACCUUGCUGUUUUGACGUUACCGACAGAAUAAGCACCGGCUAACUUCGUGCCAGCAGCCGCGGUAAUACGAAGGGUGCAAGCGUUAAUCGGAAUUACUGGGCGUAAAGCGAGCGUAGGUGGUUUUGUAAGUUGGAGGUGAAAUCCCCGGGCUCAACCUGGGAACUGCCUACAAAACUGCAUGACUAGAGUACGGUAGAGGGUAGUGGAAUUUCCUGUGUAGCGGUGAAAUGCGUAGAUAUAGGAAGGAACACCAGUGGCGAAGGCGACUACCUGGACUGAUACUGACACUGAGGUGCGAAAGCGUGGGGAGCAAACAGGAUUAGAAACCCCGGUAGUCC
rnacentral:rRNA from 1 species